AAUAGAAUUUUACAAAUUGUCAUAUAAAUUUCUGGAUCUUUUUUGAAUUCGAAUACUCGAAAGUGGAAGAAAAUUAAAAUUAACUGUCGUAUGCAACAACUCGCUAAAAAUUUGCCAGUGUUGUUAGCUUGAUUUUAUCAAAAUACAAUUGGCAUGUAAUAAUAACACAAAAAUCAUAUGGUAAAUUGAUUUGACGUUUUUUUCGUAGUUUGACGUUAUUUAGUAUGGCGGCGGACAACGUGGUGUCGGAGUUAAGCAAUUUGGUUUUAAACGAUAAAAAGGCAUGUUAAAUUGUUUAUAAUUUGUGGAUUAAAUAAAAAAUCUGCAUUAAACAAUACUUUAAAGUAAUGUUUAGUUUGGUAAAUGCUUUUAAAACAACGACUAAAUCUGCUGUGAAUUUAAGUUUACAAAUACAACAAAGUUGCUGUCGUGUUCAUAUUUUAAAGUCGCCGCGGGCCAAAGAAAAAUUUGUUAGAAAAGAAAGUGAAAGGUUUUCGUAUUUUUCAAAUAUUCAAAGCAGUUUAAUCACUCACAAAUGCAACUACGCAACAUUGGCAACUAAAAUGAA